rnacentral:lncRNA from 1 species
GUAUAUAUAUAUCCGUAUAUAAUUUAAUUUGAAGGACUUUUCUCUAAACAGUGUCACUACAGGACAUCAACAUGAAAAAAGCUUUCAAAAGUUCUACAGUUCAAGAUCAGCAGGUGGUUUCAAAGAACAGCAUUCCUAAUCCUGUUGCUGACAUUUACAACCAGAGUGAUAAACCUCCACCUCUGAACAUCCUGACACCUUACAGAGAUGAUAAGAAGGAUGGGUUGAAGUUCUAUACUGAUCCUUCCUAUUUCUUUGACCUAUGGAAAGAAAAAAUGCUACAGGAUACAGAAGACAAAAGAAAAGAGAAAUGGCAGCAAAAGGUAAGUA